rnacentral:tRNA from 1 species
GGGGUUAUAGCUCAGUGGUAGAGCACUUGCCUUGCAUGCGUGAGGCCAUGGGUUCAAUCCUCAGCAUCA